CUUGAACGAGGAAUUCCCAGUAAGCGCGAGUCAUUAGCUCGCGUUGAUUACGUCCCCGCCCUUUGUACACACCGCCCGUCGCUACUACCGAUUGAAUGGUUUAGUGAGGUCCUCCGAUUGGACCCGGUCCGGGCGGCGACGUCCGAGCCGGCGUCCGAGAAGACGAUCUAACUUGAUCAUUUAGAGGAAGUAAAAGUCGUAACAAGGUUUCCGUAGGUGAACCUGCGGAAGGAUCAUUA
rnacentral:ncRNA from 1 species